UAUAACCUACGGGGGGCAGCAGUGGGGAAUAUUGGGCAAUGGAGGCAACUCUGACCCAGCAACGCCGCGUGAAUGAUGAAGGUCUUCGGAUUGUAAAGUUCUGUGAUGGGGGAUGAACACAAUGACGGUACCCCAAUAGCAAGCCACGGCUAACUACGUGCCAGCAGCCGCGGUAAUACGUAUGGGGCAAGCGUUAUCCGGAUUUACUGGGUGUAAAGGGAGCGUAGGCGGCCUGGCAAGCCUGAUGUGAAAUACCGGGGCCCAACCCCGGGGCUGCAUUGGGAACUGCCAGGCUGGAGUGCCGG
rnacentral:rRNA from 1 species